AGAAAAGCUCCCAAAAUAAAAAUAGAGUCUCCAGUACAACAUUAAAAUGGUUAGCCCUACUUCUAUGCACAGAAUGAGCUGGUUUUCAUUUGCAAACCAUUAAGUUACUUAACAGGUGUAAAUUGAGCCUAUAUUACUUUCGUUUGAACAAAAAAGAAAUCCUGGUAUUUGAAACGUAUGGUGAGUUUGUACUAUUUAUACUGUGCUGAGACAUCCAUUCUUACUUCCCUUCCCAGAGCUAGGAACUGUCCAGUACUAUGUUCUGCUGUUUUGGGAGUGUUGUCAGAUAAAUUAAAAGCCAGGCCAAUACUAACUUCUCGUGAAAAACUUGUAGCCCUUGUUUAUUGAUUCUGUUGUAACAGCAUGUCACUACUCCUUUCCGGGCAAGUGAAGGAGGCAAAGGAACAACUAGGUCCUGGAGUCAAGAGGAAGGUUUUUCUAUGUGAGGCUCAGUGCUGAAAUGAACAUCUUGACUAUAAAGCCUUCUUCAGAGUUACCAAUGGACAGAAAAUCUGAGGGGAAAAUAGAUGUUGCAAGAAAACCUUUUCAUUGCGCUCAAAGCUUCAUUUAUUCCACUGGACGAUCUGCACAUACAUAAACAAGUAAUUCAAGAAAUUAAGCUGCUGUCUUUCCAGCUCACUGCAGGAACAACAUCCCUGGUAUAAUUCCAGGAAGGAAGCAGAACUCAAGGAGUCAGUACAGCAGGGUUUGUCUCAGAGUCAUGUUUUACUCCCUACAUGGUGCAUUUCAUUUUGGUAUGCAUUGAGCACACUCCCUGCCUACCCCUAGAAAUUUUGUUUCUAGACUCAGCAGUAGCCCAGGAGUUGCUAACACUGAUGUGAAAAGGGCAGGCUAGCUUUUCUGUCCCCACUCUCAAUGUUUCCUGGAUACAUCUGUUCAUCAUUUGUUGGGAAGGUCAGUAAUAUGCUUCCCUACAUGGCAUCUGGAGGGUGCUUGCCCUGCAGGAUGUCUCUUUCCUCUGAUCCUGCAAACCAAAGAUUUUGUGGGCAUUGCUGGUCAGAAACUGACUGUGGUUUACAGGAGAUCAGGAAAACUUUUUUAGACACCAAAGCCCCAGUAGCAUUUCAAAAACUACUUUAAAAGCUAUUUUUUCUACCAGUAAGUUCAGUAAGAGCCAAAUUAGGUCAACAAUAAAUGCUUUUGAAAGUCUCAUCCUUUGUGUAAAUACUUCAGGAACAGUCAGAAGCCUUCCAAGAAGAAAUACUCUUCCCUACUAGCGAAAUAAGUUUGUAUGCAGAGAUUACCAUUGGAAUACCACUUUAAUUAGGCAUUAUUCCUUCCUUAUGAUUUCUAGCCUUUUCAUGAGAUGGCUACUCAGGAAAGGAAUGACUUGCUUCUCAUUGUUCUCUAAGAGUGUGAUAAGACACUUCCUGAAAAAUCCUUCUGGUGGUGGUGUUGAUGGGCUAUUAACCACAGAGAGUGUGACAAGGGAGGAGAAGCAUUUCAGUUCAUUCUUCCCUGCCAGGGAAGAUACUGACAGGAGGUACUGGGAGUUGGGGGUGAUGAGCUGAUGAGAAGAAAUUCACAGAUUCUUGUAGUUAAUUCCUUUAGAAUAUUUUAGUCACUUUCAGAGCAAGCCAACUGUUGAGCAACUGCAAUUUUCUUAAAAUUUAUAAGAAACACAGUUUCAUUCCAUGAAACACUGAAUUACAGGUCAUAAAAACUCUGGUUUGAUUCUGAUUUUCGGGACACGUAUUACUGUUCACCAUACAUUCAAGCAGAAGCAGUGGAGUGAAUAGAAGUUGUGCAGGCAGUUUCAGCUAGAGCGUAAUGUGGUUCUUACCAACUGAAAUGUCAGUUAAAGAGCAGCAGCAAACUAGGAUUCAAAGCAUAUGGAAUUAUUUGUAUGGCUGCAAAGCAGGCAGCCAGUCAGCCACAAAUAUAAUUUUCACAAGUGCAUUUUCAGUUGUCAUGCUAUGAAAUAAAAACAUUGGAAUGCAGAUAUCACAUGAGGAGCACUCAGAUGAUACACUGCUGAACCAGAAACAGGAGGCAUGCACUAUGUAGAAGGUAAGCUGUAAUGUUCAGCUAUCACUGUUCCCCUGAUCUCAUCACAUUGAUCCACUGCUUAGCCGAAAACAAGAUGCACAGACAGGCCG